rnacentral:rRNA from 1 species
UACAGAGGGGGGCAAGCGUUGUUCGGAAUUACUGGGCGUAAAGGGCUCGUAGGCAGCCAACUCAGUCGGACGUGAAAUCCCUCGGCUUAACCGGGGAAUGGCGUCCGAUACUGGAUGGCUUGAGUUUGGGAGAGGGAUGCGGAAUUCCAGGUGUAGCGGUGAAAUGCGUAGAUAUCUGGAGGAACACCGGUGGCGAAGGCGGCAUCCUGGACCAACACUGACGCUGAGGAGCGAAAGCCAGGGGAGCAAAGCGGG